rnacentral:rRNA from 1 species
UUGGCGGCCUCUCUCCUUAUCAGAGGAACUCGUAUCUUAAUCCGAUAAUCCGCGUUAUUUCUUACUUUCUUUUAUAGUCUUUAUAUCGCUGUCUUUAGAUAAAAGUAUUAUCUUAUAUCUUUAUAAAUUUCUUAUUACGUCAAGUCGAGAUAAAGCCCAUAACAAAGGGAGCCGAGUUACUUAUAUUACUAUUUAAGUUUUUAUCUUUAAAAACAUAAAAAUCUUGGAUUUGAAAGUAAUAAAUUAAUAAUCUUCUUUUAUGAAAUAGAACUUCAGGUGUACAUAUCGCCCGUCACCCUCGUCUAAAGAUGAGGCAAGUCGUAACAUAGUUAAUAUACUGGAAAGUGUAUUAAGGG